GCUCCCCUCCCUUCAUCCACAUUUUUCCAUCCCUAAGGGACACACUUAAUCCCUCUUCAAGUUCCUGAUCCUUCCAGAGUCCACCUCCAUGCUCCUCUCCUAUUUGAUUAAUUUAUUCUUCUUCCUCUUCCAACUUCAAGGUGAUGCCAUGCAUCACUCAUGGUCUCCAGCUCUGUGCUUAAUCGUACUGUGUGCUCAAUAAAUACUGGCUGUAAUGAAUGAAACUCCUACCUGCAAAUGGAAGACUCAGCAGAAACCCUCCUUCAUUGCUCCACUUCCCAAUUAGCUCUUUGUUCUCAAAGUAUCUGAAACAUUUGGCCAUCAUUGGUUUUCUUAUAAAUGACACAUUAUAGAAUAACAGCUAAGUGCCUUGGCCAUGGUUACAAAUCCCAUCUCCAUCACUUCCUAGCUUUAUGGUUUUAUGCAAGUCACUUCACUUGUCUGAGCCUCCAUUUGUUGGUAAAAUGGUGAUAAUGAUGGUACCCACCUCAUGUGUUGCUUGCAAAUUAGAUUGGAUAAAGCAUACAAAGAACUUAGCACAGUAAAUACUCUAUAAGUGUUUGUGGCUUUGUUCACAAUUAUUGAGCAAUGACCACGUUUUAAGCUCUUUCAUUAUUGUUUUUUCUUUCGAGACAGGGUCUCACUCUGUCACCCAGGCUAUAGUACAAUGGUGCAAUCACAGCUCACUGAAGCCUCGAGCUCCCAGGCUCAAGCGAUCCUCCCUCCUCAGCCUCCUCAGUAGCAGAGACUGCAGAGCACCAGCCCCGUCAUCAGUGAGCGGCUCUGACGACACCGACCAGCACAGGCUGACUCUACUGAUUAUCUGUAACGUGACUGUCCCUCUUAAUCAAAGUGAUGUCAUCCUCUGAUUUCAGAAAGUGAAGGAUAGCAAAAUUAAUGUUGGCUCAAGCGGGCUUCUAAUGCCGCGGGCCGCCGAGGGUCUGCAGGGCUGCUGCAUUUCAAUGAUGUGCACUGGGAUUUCUUCGUGAACAAGGGUGCCCGAUAGAAAGCAAUCUCCCCCAUGUGGAGGAUGUCAAGAGCCCUUUAAAUGGUUCUUCCUUCUCUCUUCGGCUCUUCCUGCCUGGACUGAGGCACCCACACCCCCGCUGCUGUGAAUACUGCCCGUUAACAAGACAGCUGUUCCCUUCUCCGGAGACUUGCCCUGGAGAAAAGCACCACUCACCUGGAA